GUGCUCGCUUUGGCAGCACAUAUACUAAAAUUGGAAUGAUACAGAGAAGAUUAGCAUGGCCCCUGUGCAAGGAGGACAUGCAAAUUCGUGAAGCGUUCCAUAUUUUU
ensembl:snRNA U6 U6 spliceosomal RNA